GAGGGUAUAGCUCAAGUGGUAGAGUGCAUGCUUAGCAUGCACAAGGUCCUGGGUUCAAUCCCCAGUACCUUCU
rnacentral:tRNA from 1 species